GCAGGGCUGCGGAGCGCGACGAAGAUUAUUCCCCGGGGCCGAUAGGAUCUCCUAGGGAGCUGACCCUGAACGGGAUCGUGGUCCCGUUCACUCGGCGCCCACCUACAAUUUGUAGGGACCCGAGGGAUCACAUGCUUCGACGGCUCGCGCGGCUCUGCU
rnacentral:other from 1 species